AGUUUUCACGAUGAGGAUACCAAGCUCCCUCUUCUGAAAUUUCAGAGCUGAGGAAAAUUGCUGGCAGAAUCGAACCAUAUAACUUUAGCCAUCACUGAGUGA